UCCCCAGUGGCUCAGUGGUAAAAGAAUCUGCCUGCAAUGCUGAAGACCUGGGUUCAAUCCUUGGAUGGGGAA
rnacentral:tRNA from 1 species